AGGGCUCCCAAAUGACUCUAACCGCUGCUUUAUGGCUUUGCUUUUGUUUCUCCUUUUCUCACGUUUUCGGGGAGAAGAGGGCGUGUCUGCAGGCUCAGGUGUUAGCCUGCGAUGUCGAUGGGGAUGAGCUACGGCCAGGUUUCUGCUCUGCCAGCAACUCCCUUGGGCAAGCUGCUCAAAUUGCCUCAGCCUUUUGCCCCUUGUUCUUGAAGUACAAAUAACACUUCCAUACCCCCAGGGCACAUGAGAUGAAUACUUCAAAGACGGGGAGGCCUUCAGAUAUGGCACUGGAGAGAGCCCUACGAGGCCCGGAGUAGGUUCGCUCUGCACUACCUUUCGGCUGUAUGCUUUGGACAGCAGAAGGGAUGCUUCAGGGCACUUAGAGCAGCUGACUUUCAGAUGCAAAGAAAUGUUUGGCUGGAGCUGUACAGAGCCAACGGUUUGCUUUAAGGCUCGCUAAUUUGCUUUGUAGGAUUCUUCGGUCUUUGUUUCACCUGUUCUUGUAUUUCUUGGUUAAAGCAUGAAAAUGACUCGUAACUACACCGUCCAUUUUCUGCGAGGAGCUGGCCUGGCUCAUCCACAGACAGGCUUGCUGGAGUGAUAACUGGGGAGGAAAAAGGGGGAAAAAAGGAGCGUGACAUCACAGGGAUGUGAGCCUGUAAAGGUGCUGUCUCUCCCCUCUCCUUACCUUUGCUCUGUUCAUUUUUCUAGUUGCCUACUUGCAAAAAAAACAAGGUCUAGUGGCUAAGCUAUUACUGAGGAGACUGCCUUGGUUUGCAGAGAGUCUUCUUUGGUGUAGGUCCCUGAAACAGAGUCCUCGGGGUAGGAGGCAGCAAAGUGCAAAGGCAGGAAGAGGAGCAGAGCACCGGAGCUGGCGAGGAGCCCAUCCUCGUCUGCAGCACGGACGCUGUCAGACUGACUCAGCUGUAACGUGAAGCUGCAUCUUCCAGCUGCCUGGGCCGGUCAUUUUGUCAUCUUGUGCCCCUAUACAAGAGAGCAACGUUUUCUUCCUUCGUGGCAGAAAGAUGCCCUUUUGGGGGACAGCUCUGUGCCUUCAUUCUCAGCUGACUUCCUUGAGGUGGCAAUGAAAUCCGUGGUGCUGUGUUUUCCCUUGUCUUCUGGCAUCUGCAGCCCCAGUGCUCUUGGGAUUGAGAUUUUUCCUUUUAAAAAGGGAUGGGUGUGCUCACCUCUUUAUUUGUGGGUUGGGGGAAGAAAACCACGUGCCUGUUUUCAUGGAUUCGCAGCUGAAGCCUUAUCAAGGACAGGAAAGCAAGCACCUCUCUGUUUCUUUUUCUCUUGUGCAGGUCCCCUCCACAAACAGCAAGCGUUUUGCUGGUGUAAAACAGAAAGGAGGAAGGCUCUGUGGUGGUGAUCUGGCUCUGUGAAUCUGCUUCAGCUGAGUAAAAGGAGAAUGGAAACCUUGCUGAGGGAGCUGGUACCUGCUGCCAGCCUUAGCCAUCCUGUGCUUUGUUUUGGAAAGAGAAGCCAAGCUGUACGAGGAAUUACCACCUGCUCAAUUUUAAGUUGAAACAAAUAAACAGAACUGUUUUUUACCCUUAAUUUCCUGCUCAGUGCCAGUUUUUCCAGGCCAAGAAAAAUCUUUUCUUUCGUGAGAAGCUCUGUGAGUGGCUGUGCCUGGGGAGGCAGCUUCGCCCCCUGCCCACCUCCACAGCGACCAGCGAAGCGAAGCAAAGCUCCCGCAGCCAGCAAGCCCAAAUCCCCACAGGUUGUCCCUCUGGCUCUGCCAUCAGAAGGCCAAACACUCUCUGGAAUGUGCUGUGCUGAUGUGACAAGGCUUGGCCAUGAGGCCAGCAAGUUUGGCUCAUUUCUAUGCCAUCACUGCUAGCCCGGUACGCAUGGUAUUUUUUUUUUUGUGAUGCUCCAGCUUCCUCCCAGGCCGGUGCCAGCAAUUCGGUCCUGUUUGAUAGACCACCAUUCAGCCGUGGCGUGGAGCUGUGGUCCUAAUGGCCUGUGUUAAUUAAAAAUCUAAUGGCCCUUUCUUGGGAGAAAGUUCGUUAGUUCCAGUGUUUUCCUAAGGUAAUUAUAUCGAGCCGGCCUGUCGCCCUCCCCCGCGGUUUCGCUUACUGCUUGCUUUCUCUAAGCCCCUGCCCCCUGCAAACUGCCUUGGUGUGCCGUGUUCCACCCCGACACCUCAAACCGGGUUGCACAUUUGGUUCAGAGCAUGGCAAAGAGCUGUAGGAGAGAGAUGCCCUGCCUUUACUGGGACAGGUGUGGACCAUUUACAGCUUCAGUUGUGCUGCCCCGCAGCGCCGAAUUGCGAUUGAGAAACUCCUCCUUGAGGCUUCAUCUCCCCUGCGUUCUGAAAUAGCAAGAGAUAAACAGGAAAAAGGGGAGACACUUUCUGCUUUAUAUUGUUCGGCUCUCCAGUCAGCUCCGUCUCUGGUAUUAAGAACUUCCUGUUUUGUUUUAAGUCUUCUGACAGGCGAGGAGCCUUCGUUUCAGCCUGAGCUCAGAAUGACUAGCGUGUUUCCAGGCUCUGGGGUACAAAUUCCAGUAUCCUCCUCACCUCUAGGCCAAAAUUUUAGAGCUGGAAGUCAAACUGAUGAAAAUCGGGUGCUUAAAUCAGCGGUUGGUUGCCAAAGCACUAAUGACCCGACUUUCACAAUGGGUGAACACCUGCAGACCCUGUAGCAGUCGUGGGACUCGGGAGGGCAGGACCUGCAGAAAUGAGAUCGAUUUUGUGCAGGAGCUCAAACAAGGACCCAAAUUUAAGAAUUUAACGAAGGAUGUGCUCAGAAACAAGAAACAGAAAAGAGGAUCUGGAAAAAAAAUGUGGAGAAAGGUCUCCGAUAACUUUCCCUGUGAACUGAACCAUCUCCUUCGGGUGGUAUGCUGGAGAAAUAGAGUCCCUCUGCGUGCUUACUUCAUGCGUACUGCCCCUGGCUGCUGCUCUGCCUGCCUGGGAACCAUCUCCCGAUCAUGGUGUGUGACAGUUCAGCUUGGACUUACCAAUUCUGUGAGAGUUAAAAAUUAAACCAGCUGAUCAAGAUCUGAAGCAGCACUGGAUUUAAGAGACUAGCAAGUGGUCCAGCCUGGAGUUAAUUCAUUAUAAAUUUCUCUAGAAGAGCUUGUCAAAAGGAAACGUGAAGCAGCUGGAAAGAAACAUCCUUACAGCGAAUGCCAAAGUCAUUUGCAUCCAGCGGACUGGGAGACUCAGGGCUUUGGACAGAUGAUGUGGGUGAAAGAAAUAAAAAUCUAAAUACAGAGGAAAAAGCACCUAGUUCCCACUGAGUGAUUACAGAGGAAACGGUCUUACCGCUAUAGGGACCUAAUUAGAGACUCGGUCUCACAACAGUCUAAUAACUCCUCCAGGACAGUGAGAAACCCGAACGAGCUACAGCGGUCUGGUCAGGCCUGCAGAGUUUGGAAGCUCUGCCACACCGGAAGAGUGCAGCCCUGGGCUCCCACUGCCUUGGACCGCAGCAUCCUGAAGGAAAUGCUUCCAGCACACAUUUUCCCAGGCAAAUACAUGUAUAAUAGUUAAUUAUCAACAUUAAUAGGUUCAAAAACGUCUCAGAUCUGCAAACCGAGCAGCGUCACGCCGUGCAACGCAGCGACUCGCAGGUCUCCUGCUUCUGUCCUGUUCCUGUGCUGUCACCCUGAUUGCUGAGACUGUAAAACCUCAGGGCAGGGACUGGCUCUCAUUGCACACCUACGCCAUGAACCUUCUCCAUUCUCUUUUUGAAGAAUUCCUGAGGCCCAGGCCGGGCAGUCAUCACCAGAAUUAAAGAUUUUCUGCCUCUGUUUUUAAGCUGCAAGCUCUGUGGGAGGAGGAUUGAAAGUCUCGUAGCUGUGGAGAGCACCUAGAUUGUGUGGGGCCCCAGUGAAGCAUGCAGAUAUAAUUAAUGACCGUGGAGGUCUUCCCACAGGUGCCAAGAGCCAGAAGAGCCAGCUCAGCUCCCAGGUCCUCAAGGAAACAUGUAGGACUGUCAAAAAAAGAAAGAGCACCCCGAGCGUGUUGGCCCCGGAGUGGGAGUUUUCAGCUUGUGGCCUGCCUCCAGGAGCUCAGGAGAAGGUGGGUUAGAGAGGGGGCUUCUUGUCAGCAGGCAGCCACCCAAGGGAUCUGCAGAGCCACAGGGGCUUGAGGGGUAAGAGGAGAACAUACAAAUGUCAGGAGGGACCCCUGACCUCCAGAAACACCAGUAACCGGUGUGUCUCCUCGUGAAGACAUGGUUUUGGAGGGCAGCCACCCUUCACCUUCCUGUUUGUGAUGUAUUCAUCUGAGUUACACGCCUGUGUCAGUCUCUCCUUGGCCCUCUGUCUUCUGUGGGGUAAAAUAAAGAGCUGGCAGAGAACUGCUCAAGCUACUGUUGUCUUCAUUUCUUUGGGAAAUGAGACCACGUCAGGGCAGAGUAAAGGAGUCCAAGAUACAAGAAGGGGCUGAAGGAGGAUUUCUCUGCCAUGGGCACUGCAGAUAAAGCCACAACCCUGUGAUCCUCUCACUGCCAGUGUCUGGUGGGCUCAAAGCAUCUCAGCCUCUUACUUUCCCCUUCUCCUCUUUCCCUCUUGGGUUCUGGGCUCCAGGUCCUCUCCAUCCCCUCCUGGACAGGACCCAACUCCCUGCUGUGAGAGGGAAGUUAGUGCUGGCUCUGUGCCUCAGUUUCCCUGUCUGACCAUGACACUCAACAAGUUUUGCACAGCCCUUUGAAGGACAAAAGCAGAAUUAUUUCAGUCAUCAAAAGGCCAUGACUGGGAAAGUAUUUAUUUCCUUGUCUGAUAUACGUG